CAGCAGCCACGGGAAUACGAAGGGGGCAAGCGUUGUUCGGAUUUACUGGGCGUAAAGCGUACGUAGGCGGAUAUUUAAGUCAGGGGUGAAAUCCCGAGGCUCAACCUCGGAACUGCCUUUGAUACUGGAUAUCUUGAGUCCGAGAGAGGUGAGUGGAACUCCUAGUGUAGAGGUGAAAUUCGUAGAUAUUAGGAAGAACACCAGUGGCGAAGGCGGCUCACUGGCUCGGAACUGACGCUGAGGUACGAAAGCGUGGGGAGCAAACAGGAUUAGAUACCCCAGUAGUCCCUGUCUCUUAUAC
rnacentral:rRNA from 1 species